UCUCUGGUGGCUUAGAUGGUAAAGAAUCUACCUGCAAUGUGGGAGACCCAGGUUCAAUCCCUGGAUUGGGAA
rnacentral:tRNA from 1 species